rnacentral:lncRNA from 1 species
CCUGCCUCUAAUGGCACCCACCAUUAAGUCGGAUCUCAGCAACCAUCUGCGUGGCAGGAGCUAUCACACUGGAGCCUCGCAGUAGCCAAGGAGAGACGCCAAUGAGGGAAUCAUUUUUCCACUUGGUGAAAUACAUUUUUGCCCCGUGAAAGCACGAGGAGGGCCUGUCUUGGAUAGGUGGAGUGGUCCUAGGUCCUACUAGAUGGAAACCUCAGGACUCGGAAGAGGUUCACCUUCGGAGCGAGUCCCCCUAAGGGGCUGGCCAGCCUCACGCCAGCUGCCUUCUUCUCAUGACAUGUGGUGUCCUCACAGCCAGCCGUAGGAUCUGCAUUGAGUUCAGCAAGCGGAGGCGACUUCCCCAGGGCCACACAGCCAUGGAGGGCUGCGGCUCAGUUGCUGACUGCUCCAGCUCACCCUCACGUCCAUGAGGUUUCUGCUCCAAAAUGCUAUUGCUAAGAAAAAUGUUCCAAACACGACCCAUUGGCUGACCACAGGUCUUCAUUAUAAAAGCAUCUGAAGGAGUUGCUGAAGGGGAUGUCCUGUUGGCUGGACCCUGUCGUGCUGGUUAUAUGUAAACUGGCUGAACUACCCAGUUCUUAAACUGUCACAUGUGAGUCCUUCCUUCCAAGGUCAGAGGCUCCUAUCCUUCAAGGGUUCAGGGCUCGUGGUGGGCUCAGCGGGAUCACAAACAUUGGCAUGGCCAGCCCAGUCUGGGGAAGCUGCAAGGGCCUGGGGGGUUGUGGCCUUGGGCAUCACAGCAUCAGACUUGGGGAGCCUGGUGACGAGAGCCUGUCUGAGAAAUGUGACUUGUUUCCAGGAGCAGUGGGAGCCCCUUCCCUCCCUGAUGAAGGGGGAGUGGCAGUUCCCUCCCUGAUGAAGGGAGAGCGGUGGGCACAUGGAUGACGCUGCCCCAAAUCGCUCCCCUAACCUUCCCAAAUGACGCCCCAGCCACUGUGGCUGCUGCUUUGAGAACGGACAGGAGCCUGGGGAGAAGCAGAAGGAAUGCAGAUACCGAAUUGUACAUUUUGUUUCACCGGCUGCCGUCAGCUGCUCGGCUUCCUCCCCUCAGGGCAGUGCUAUUUAACACUCUCUCUUCGAAUCUCGCCUUCCUGCCUCCCCCGUCUGCAGCCUCCCCUGCACUGCGCACCCGCUCACUCUCCCCUUCCCCCAGGAGAACACAUUCUGGCAGACAGAAGUUCAAAUGAGAAGUUAAAACGCUUUGAGGCAGCAGGCAGAGUGUCAGCAGAGCCGGUGGAAACCGCAGCCUUGGGGGCAACACGUGGACCCUGCUUGGGGAUAAAGCAGGACAGACAGAAGGAGCAGGACAGACAGGAGGAGUAGGACAGACAGGAGGAGCAGGACGGA